GAAGACCUUUCAGUCUAUCUAAUAAUGCAAGACUAGUGGUGAUGAACUCCCUCAGAUUUUGUUUGUUGGGAAAGUAUUUAUCUCUCCUUCACUUCUGAAGGACAACUUUGCCAGAUGAGGAAACUGACAACUGAGAGUCUGAGGAAAUUUCCCAAGUUUACACAUGAAUAAAUGUGAGACCUUGCAUUCAAACUCAGGGGGCCACGAUCAGCCUCAAGUCUGGUGACAGUAAACUGUGAAGAAAAGUAGCCUAGGCUACAUUUGAGCCGUCACUGAGCGACUUGGGAAUCGAUGGGAAUAUCACCUUUCUGGCUUGUACUUCUCUACGUCAGCCCAGUGCCUUUGCCACCAGUUAUUCUCUCACCCUGAGUGGAUGCAAGACCUACCUUCACUGCUUUACCACAUAGGCUACUGAACAUGGUGGAAGUAAAAUUGUAUAAGCACACACUGAAACUACUGCAAGAUAUUUCGUGUUUCCAGUGGAAGGGCUGUGAAACUCGACUGGACUGGGAAACUGCAUUCCUUAAAGACAGCAGAGCACAAGAAGGCUGGAGACGUGGUCACCGUGCUCACCUCUAAGGGAAAUUCACAGUGCUACAGAGGAAUGCAAAAGGGGAAUGAAGACUGGAAGGUGAAAAAGGAUCUCUCCGAGGAAACAUUGAUGAGACCAGAAGAAAUGGAAUGUGAUAACAAGCACAUGGUUUGCUGAAGAGCACGUGCGAAGGCCCUCAGAAAUUGAUUCAGUGCUCGCUAUAUCCUAGAUGCUUGAAAUUUACAUCAUCUUCAUCUCUGACCACAACUGAACAACACAGGCCAACAAGACAUUCCUAUGGAUUAUGCCCUUCUUUCCUCCUGAUAUUGAAGGCAUCCCCUGAAGUUCUUAACACAGUACUCCAGACACUGGGGGGAAUUAGAAAUUUUAGAGUGAAGAGGAUUUCCUGGACUUAGAAGAAAGGGAUGAACAGACUGGAAACCAACUGGAUUACUGAAUGACUACAUGGAGAAGAAUCUGCCCACUUUCCUUUCAACAACAUACAUUGGGCUUACUAAUUCUGAUUAGUCCAAGGGCUACAUCACUACAUGCUUCUCAAACUGGAGGAUGCACAGCCCCGAUUCUGUGCAGGGAGCAGACCAAACAAGAGUAUCCCAUGUAUCUUUCUGAAGCACCAAGUUUAUUACAAGACUUGGAAGAACCAAGUACUUUAAUGAGAAUCAUCCCCUUGCACAAACAUGGAAGGAAAGAGGAACAGGAGAGGUGAAAAGGACCCCAGGGGAACAGGCCGGCUGAGUGGUGGGCCUGCAGCGAGGGGGCCUCUCCUGCUGUCCCUGAGGCGGCUUCAUCCAUCCUCCAAGUUCAGCAGGUAUUUUUGGUCUUGAGUUUUGAAGGCCACAGAGAUGCCCGGUGCCCUUCUGAUGUGAAUUUGUGCGGAGAACAUCGUGGCAGUUUGCACAGCUCCACUGUCCACUGGAUCUAGUGCUCUCUCGCCCAGGGGUCCUGGCACACACAGUGUGCACAUUAUGCUCCUCUUCUUCUGGAAGCUCUCCGCGUCCAGCCUUUAGUCUUUCUCCCUGCACCAUGUGACCUGGCUCCCUGGAGCUCAUCAUGGUUCAUCUCUUCAUUUAAAGCCGAGGAUGCGUAGCUUGACCUCCUGGACUCUCUGGUUGUAUCCCUUCCUUGGCUGUCCCCCAUUUACAUGGACUCUACAUUUUCCCAAGCUUUUUUUUUUUUGUGGAUGACCUGAGGCAGAGCUUUUUCAACAUAAAGACCAAGAUUCUCCUGGUGACCCCUGAAGGCCCUGGCUGGUUCCCUCUGGGGAUCCGCAGCUGCUGCUAUGACUAUCAGAUCGUUUUGGGUGUCCAGGAAUCCCCAGAGCCACCCUGGAGGCUGGGCUGGGUGUGGCGGCCCCUGACUCUGAGAUGACUGGUGGAAUGGUAGGCUCUUGGGUCUUCUGUCACAACCCCUGGUCCUCAGGCUGCUUAUACAUUUCCAGACACCUGGAGAACUCUGGGUGAACCUCCUGAGUUGGGGAGGGACCAUGGCUGCUGUGGUCAGGGGAACAGAAGGGCCCUAUCACAACGGUAUGGCACUCCAGUUUUGGUUUCUUGCUGCUCACAAUGAGACAAGUGGCCACUAUGUUGGUGAACCUCUUGUGCUUUUCUGUCUCUUGGUUCUCAUCCCACUCAAACCCCAGGCUCAUCAUCGCUCUGUCACCCAGGAGUCCAUGUAGUCACAGGGAGGCUCACUGUAAGGACUGAGUAUUUCUUCUUGGCCCAUGUUUAGCCAUGGGUCUCCCAUAAACUACCUCUGUCCCUUGGAUGAGAAUCAACAAUUUUUUAAAUGUCUUUUCCAAUUCAAAGGAUGGAUAAAUGGCGUGAGGUAUUUAUUUUCUGCUUAAUAUCUGCGGCCGCAGCUCCCUAAAGUGUUUUUCUAGGAAGGGCAGGUCCCUGUCAAAAUUUUAUACAGAACUACUCCUAGGCUCCAUACCUCAACCAUAGGUCUGUCAUAUUUUUGGCCCAGAAAUAGUUCUGGGGCAGCAUAAGAGAGGGUAUCACAAACAUGUGCAACUUAUCGCCCAAAAACUGAGUGCUAAGUCCAAGUCUCUGGAGGAGCUCUGCUGAUUGAUGACUUUUAUAGCCAUUUCUGUACAGUUCAGAACAUGUCGGCCCAACCCCCGCUUCGCUGCCCUCUCCAAUGGUGCUGCGGAAGAUGUAAUCCCACUAUGGGGCUCCUGGUCCACAAUUUUGAUGUUCCUCUGAGCAUCAAGGAACAUGUUCUUUGGCUCAGGUCCCUAUGGACUAUGCCUUUUUGAUGGCUGUGCUGCACAGGUGAUACCAGCUGAUGGAAAAUACUUCGGGCCUCCUUCUCGGUCAUGCGGUAGUGAUCCUCCAGGUAAUCGGAUAUGUUCCCUCCACUUAGGUGCUCCAUGAUGAGGCAGAGUUUUCUCCUGGUGCCAGUCACCUCAAAUAACUUGAUUAUAUUCUGGUGAUUGAAUGCCUUCAUGCAUGGAAGUCCUGCAGGGGAAGUCGCUGGAGGAGCCCUGCUGAUUGAUGACUUUGACAGCCAUUUCUGUACCAUUCAGAACGUGUCAGCCCAACCCCCCCUUCGCUUCUCUCUCCAGUGGUGUUGCGGAAGUUAUAAUGCCCACUAUGGGGCUCCUGGUCCACAGAGAUGGCUGCAAGGUUAUCCAUAUGGUGACUUGCUAACUAUACUAACCGGCAAUACUAACAAUGCUAACUAUGAUUACUAAAUAUGCUAAUACACUAACAAUGCGGACUAUGCUUAUUAACUAUCCUACAAAACAAUAACUAUAAUAACAAUGCUAACAAUCUAUACUAGCUCUACCGACAAUACUAAUGGUACAAACAUUGCUAAUUUAUAACACUAUCUAAAUUUGUUUAAAUGAGAAAAACAAAAUACUGAAAAAAAGAAUAAAAUAAUAAAACAAAAAUUAAGUAAAUUAAAGAAAUGGGGGGGGGAGAACAAAAGAAUAGUGAGAACAAGACAAAAAGAAUAAUAGAGAAGAAAAAAGACAGCAAAAAAAUAAGAAAAAGGAAAUAAGCAGAAAGCCCUAACCCCCGAGUGGCUGUACUUGGAGAUGGGGUCUGUGAGGUGCUCAAGGUUAAAUAAGGUCAAAAGGAUGGGGCUCUGGUCCAGUAGGGCUGGUGCCCUGACAAGAAGAAGAGGCACCAGAGCACCCCCUCUCUGCACAGUGAGAGGGCAGCGGGCUGCAGCCAGGAAGCGUGACCACACCAGAAACUGACCCUGGGGGACUUUGAUCGGAGACUUCCAGCCUCCAGAAGGGGGGAAAGUAAACUUCUGGUGUUUAAGCCUUUCCUAGUCCCUGUGGUUUGGGAGACAUUAAUCUUCCAUCAUACCGGAAUCAAAAGUGAGCACAUCACCUGGACUUGGCCAAUCCACGGAUUCCAUCCCUUUUGCUUCAGUAACCAGUUUGAGGAUGGAUGUGUGACCCAAGUCCAGCAAAUCUGUGCCAGGACUUAACCACAGAACUAUACAAAUGGAAGUUCUUUACCCACAGGCGGCUGCCAUGGCUACUACUUUGGGGAAACUGACCUGAGAGUGAGGCCUACAUGGAAAGCAGAGCUAAGGUGGCUCCUGGUGAUGUAAUUUGAGCCCCUGCACCAAGCCAGACCUGAUGCCCACCUGAUUUGGAUGGGGUUGGGGCACAGUAGAGCUCUGAUCAAAGCCAUCAAAACACUGAUCUUGUCUGAGUGCGAGAUUGUGUUCAGCACAAUGAAGGAAGGAAGAAAGAGGACUCCAGGGAGAGAAACCCCAAGAGUAUGCAUGCACGUGCAUGUGGGCACACAGUUCAGGUCAGAACAAUGCACAUCAUGGGGGGACUUGCAGCCAACAGAGAGGAGGAGGGCUGCUCUACUCAAAUGGGAAGUUAUACCACAUUACUGACCUCUUUGUAUGAUGUGCAAUUUGCUUUGAAACAAGAAUAAAAAGAAGAGACACAUUAGGCAGAUGUGACAAAGCGUAAUGGUUGCAUUAAUUCAAACAGCAUUAAACACGGCGCCACAGCCCAUUUGGAAUCUUUAAAAAUCCCCAGGCCACGCAUCUCUCCCCGAGGAGGAAACCCUCAGUGUUGUCACUGUCCUUUUCUUACCGGGUCCAGGGCCUUAAAUGCACCACUGCCUGGGAUCCCUGGAGGUCAGGCUGCCCGGUCAAGGUCACACAGCUUGUCAGGGCACAGAACACGGACACAGGCUUUCUUACGUAAACCUUGUGUUUGACUCACCGACAGAGGUAGGUUCCUGGGAAGCUAUGGAAGCUGAAACAGGGUCCCUCACUAGUAGGGACCUUUCUUAAAUCCUGCACAUAAUUCUGGAUUCUAUUUCUUAAAAAGCACCAUUCAAACUGGCCUCAGAUGUUCAACGACAGCCCCGUCAAUAUAGGAAGACGCCUGCCCCUCCCAUGCCACUGCAGAGGAGUGCCCGAUGCUGACAGCACGAGACGAAAACAUGGGGGUUACUGAAAACCACCUCAGGGCUUCUCACUUUUCUACCUAGGACAGGUGAUUCUCAGCAGCCCAGAGCCU